UGAGCCGAAGUCCGCUGGAUAGGGCGUUUAGUUGUUAACUAAGAUAUUGUGGGAUCGAGGCCCGCCGGGUCAG
rnacentral:tRNA from 1 species